rnacentral:rRNA from 1 species
GUAGGGGGCAAGCGUUAUCCGGANUUACUGGGUGUAAAGGGAGCGUAGACGGCACGGCAAGCCAGAUGUGAAAGCCCGGGGCUCAACCCCGGGACUGCAUUUGGAACUGCUGAGCUAGAGUGUCGGAGAGGCAAGUGGAAUUCCUAGUGUAGCGGUGAAAUGCGUAGAUAUUAGGAGGAACACCAGUGGCGAAGGCGGCUUGCUGGACGAUGACUGACGUUGAGGCUCGAAAGCGUGGGGAGCAAACAGGAUUAGAUACCCUGGUAGUCCACGCCGUAAACGAUGACUGCUAGGUGUCGGGUGGCAAAGCCACUCGGUGCCGCAGCUAACGCAAUAAGCAGUCCACCUGGGGAGU